rnacentral:lncRNA from 10 species
AACACAGCAGGGCAGAGGAUGCGUGAGUUCCCUGUGCUCUGUCUUCCACUGACAUUGCCCAAUGAAAGACAUGGCUACAGGAGAAAAGCAGCCUGCAUCUUUGAGUUGCCACUGGUUGGGAACUUUGCUGGAGUCUCGAGUCCCAGAGGGCUACACGAAAGGAUGGACACAGAAUGGACCAGGAGUCAUCUAAAUAGAUACCAAAAAAUUAGGAAUUACAGCAAACAGGAAGAGCUGAUGAGACCAAUGAUCACUUCUCAUAACUCGGUGGAAAGAGGAAUUUGGCACGAGGGAUGAUGGAUUAACCACCUGUCUCAUGAAGGGAGGUAUUGCUGCAGACAGACUACAUCAUCUCCUGGCAUGGACAGCCUCUGAAUUACUAAUAGUUCAAUACUAUGAAAUAAGCUUUUGUGGGUCAAAAAUAGACAUUUUUGUGUGGCUCAUGUUAAUAAUUAGAGUGCACUAUAAUAAGCAAAUAGUCAUCAGUGUGAGGCUCCCAGUGGCUGGCCUUUGAUUGGCAGAGGUUCAGAGAGGUGGCUUCAAGGGCAGAGUUGCAAAUGGAAAACGAGUGGCCAAAGGGAGGGUGAGUGUCUCUGCAUAAUUUAUAAUAGUGAGUCACACUCACUAUUGAGUGUUUCCUAGACCAUAGCUGGCAUUUCUGCUGUGAUGGCUCUGAGUGGCUACUGGGGAAGAGAGCGAACUACAUGUGGGACAUCUGAAAGCAAUUAUCUUGGUAAAGUGAUAUGACA